UACGGAGGGUGCGAGCGUUGUCCGGAAUCACUGGGCGUAAAGGGCGCGUAGGCGGCCUGGUAAGUAGGGGGUGAAAUCCUGCGGCUUAACCGCAGGGCUGCCUUCUAAACUGUCAGGCUUGAGCACGGUAGAGGCAGAUGGAAUUCCCGGUGUAGCGGUGGAAUGCGUAGAGAUCGGGAAGAACAUCAGUGGCGAAGGCGGUCUGCUGGGCCGUUGCUGGACGCUGAGGAGCGAAAGCAUGGGGAGCGAACAGG
rnacentral:rRNA from 1 species